UUCCGGUUGAUCCCGCCGGAGGCUACCGCUAUUGGAGUUCGAUUAAGCCAUGCGAGUCGCGAGAAUUAGAUUCUCGGCGUACCGCUCAGUAACACGUGGGUAACCUGCCCUAUGCUGGAUAAUAACCUCGGGAAACUGAGAAUAAUGAUCUAUAGUUCACUACGCCUGGAACGGUGAGUGGAUGAAAGCCCCGGCGGCAUAGGAUGGGCCUGCGGCGUAUCAGGUUGUAGGGGGUGUAAUGUACCCUCUAGCCCUCUACGCGUACGGGUGUUGAGAGACAUCGCCCGGAGAUGGAUUCUGAGACACGAAUCCAGACCCUACGGGGUGCAGCAGGCGCGAAAACUUGGCAAUGCGAGAAAUCGUGACCAGGGAACUCCAAGUGCAUGGGGUAAGACCUAUGCUUUUCUAGACUCUAAAAAGGUCUUGGAAUAAGAGGUGGGUAAGGACGGUGCCAGCCGCCGCGGUAAUACCGGCGCCUCAAGUGGUAGUCGCUUUUAUUGGGCCUAAAACGUCCGUAGCCGGUCUGAUACAUUCGUGGGUAAAUCAACCAGCUUAACUGGUUGAAUUCUGCGAGGACGGUCAGACUUGGGACCGGGAGAGGUGUGGGGUACGCUCAGGGUAGGGGUAAAAUCCUGUCAUCCUGAGCGGACCACCUGUUGCGAAGGCGCCACACUAGAACGGAUCCGACGGUCAGGGACGAAGCCUAGGGGCACGAACCGGAUUAGAUACCCGGGUAGUCCUAGGUGUAAACGCUGUGGACUUGAUGUUGGGGGUGCUCCGAGCACUCUCAGUGUCGAAGCGAAGGCGAUAAGUCCACUGCCUGGGAAGUACGGUCGCAAGGCUGAAACUUAAAGGAAUUGGCGGGGGAGCACCGCAACCUGAGGAUUGUGCGGUUUAAUUGGAUUCAACGCCGGA
rnacentral:rRNA from 1 species